CACUCCCACUCACUCUCUCACACACUCACAUGCACUCACUCUCUCACACACUCACACUCUCACACACAAACAAACAAAGACACACACACACUCGCUCACACAAACACUAAACACUGAAGUGUGUGUUGUGUACUGCUGUUGCCUUGGCAACCCUUGCCCCUCACUCUCUCCCUCUGUGUGUGUUUUUCCCUCCUGUCCGUCGGCCCGUCCUCAGCCCGUCUCCUACUGACUUGGCUGGCCCUGAGAAGCAACAGCAGCCCCAGACGGUCCCAGAGCGACACGGGAACAAGACCGAGAGGAACACCUUCAGCCCAGAGGACUGUAAUGUUGAUAUGGACAAGCCCGUCCUCAGGAAGUUUCAAGGCACCUUCCUCCGCAACCUGGUCGCCACCCAGUGGGAGAAGACGAGCAGGAGCCAGCACGAG